rnacentral:rRNA from 1 species
GACAACGACCUCGCGCGUAGUUGGAGCCGGCCGAUAGUCGGUAUUAGCUAAGUUGGUGGGUAAAGGCUCACCAAGGCGACGAUCCGUAGCGGGUCUGAGAGGACGACCCGCCACACUGGGACUGAGACACGGCCCAGACUCCUACGGGAGGCAGCAGUGGGGAAUAUUGGACAAUGGGCGCAAGCCUGAUCCAGCAAUGCCGCGUGGGUGAAGACGGCCUGCGGGUUGUAAAGCUCUUUCGGCCGGGAAGAAAUCGCACGGGUUAAUACCCUGUGUGGAUGACGGUACCGGAAUAAGAAGCACCGGCUAACUACGUG